GCCCAGGGGCAGUCACCUGAUUACAAGAGAGGACCUGGAAACCAGCUCAUGUGACCCACACAUUCCACAUGCUUGCUGGAGUGGAGCUUUGGGGACUUUGCAGAAUUACUGGAAUCACGUGGGAUAUGCAGAGGGAAAUGACAGGGUGGAGGACAUUUAGCUUAACCGUGCACUAGAAGAACAGAUAACGCCCUGCCAGAAGAUUAAAAGUGCCGUAUACAAUUUAAGCAUCUAUGGGAGACAAGUCAGAAUCUGAGGACAAUCCACCAGGAGGGCUUGGUACCCGCAGUUAUAAGGCGACUGCGAUAUUUGGAAAUAAGAAGCCAAAAAAUCAAGCAAGCAUCCGACAGGACAGACAGUGGAUUCACUCAGAACACAAUAUGCUGGUGAUAAAUGAAUGCAGCUAUCAAAAUUAGCUGCAUUGGCCUGGGG